rnacentral:rRNA from 1 species
UCGAACGGCAGCACGGGAGCAAUCCUGGUGGCGAGUGGCGAACGGGUGAGUAAUAUAUCGGAACGUGCCCAGUCGUGGGGGAUAACGUAGCGAAAGCUACGCUAAUACCGCAUACGAUCUACGGAUGAAAGCGGGGGACUCGCAAGAGCCUCGCGCGAUUGGAGCGGCCGAUAUCAGAUUAGGUUGUUGGUGAGGUAAAAGCUCACCAAGCCUGCGAUCUGUAGCUGGUCUGAGAGGACGACCAGCCACACUGGAACUGAGACACGGUCCAGACUCCUACGGGAGGCAGCAGUGGGGAAUUUUGGACAAUGGACGCAAGUCUGAUCCAGCAAUGCCGCGUGCAGGACGAAGGCCUUCGGGUUGUAAACUGCUUUUGUACGGAACGAAACGGUCUGCUUUAAUACAGUGGGCUAAUGACGGUACCGUAAGAAUAAGCACCGGCUAACUACGUGCCAGCAGCCGCGGUAAUACGUAGGGUGCGAGCGUUAAUCGGAAUUACUGGGCGUAAAGCGUGCGCAGGCGGUUAUAUAAGUCAGAUGUGAAAUCCCCGGGCUCAACCUGGGACCUGCAUUUGAGACUGUAUAGCUAGAGUACGGUAGAGGGGGAUGGAAUUCCGCGUGUAGCAGUGAAAUGCGUAGAUAUGCGGAGGAACACCGAUGGCGAAGGCAAUCCCCUGGACCUGUACUGACGCUCAUGCACG